UACGAAGGGGGCUAGCGUUGCUCGGAAUCACUGGGCGUAAAGGGCGCGUAGGCGGCCAUUCAAGUCGGGGGUGAAAGCCCAGGGCUCAACCCUGGAAUUGCCUUCGAUACUGUUUGGCUAGAGACCGGAAGAGGUUAGUGGAACUGCGAGUGUAGAGGUGAAAUUCGUAGAUAUUCGCAAGAACACCAGUGGCGAAGGCGGCUAACUGGUCCGGUUCUGACGCUGAGGCGCGAAAGCGUGGGGAGCAAACAGG
rnacentral:rRNA from 1 species